rnacentral:rRNA from 1 species
GACGUAGGGCGCGAGCGUUGUCCGGAUUUAUUGGGCGUAAAGAGCUCGUAGGCGGCUUGUCGCGUCGACUGUGAAAUCCCGAGGCUCAACUUCGGGCUUGCAGUCGAUACGGGCAGGCUAGAGUUCGGUAGGGGAGACUGGAAUUCCUGGUGUAGCGGUGAAAUGCGCAGAUAUCAGGAGGAACACCGGUGGCGAAGGCGGGUCUCUGGGCCGAUAUUGACGCUGAGGAGCGAAAGCGUGGGGAGCAAACAGG